rnacentral:rRNA from 1 species
GUGCCAGCAGCCGCGGUAAUACGUAGGGUGCAAGCGUUAAUCGGAAUUACUGGGCGUAAAGCGUGCGCAGGCGGUUUUGUAAGACAGUGGUGAAAUCCCCGGGCUCAACCUGGGAACUGCCAUUGUGACUGCAAGGCUAGAGUGCGGCAGAGGGGGAUGGAAUUCCGCGUGUAGCAGUGAAAUGCGUAGAUAUGCGGAGGACACCGAUGGCGAAGGCAAUCCCCUGGGCCUGCACUGACGCUCAUGCACGAAUGCGUGGGGAGCAA